UCAAUCCUGUUGUGCUCGCUUCAGAGGGUUGGGUGGAGGCUCUCCUGAAGGUGUCC
ensembl:miRNA